rnacentral:rRNA from 1 species
GAUGAACGCUGGCGGCGUGCCUAAUACAUGCAAGUCGAGCGAAUGGAUUAAGAGCUUGCUCUUAUGAAGUUAGCGGCGGACGGGUGAGUAACACGUGGGUAACCUGCCCAUAAGACUGGGAUAACUCCGGGAAACCGGGGCUAAUACCGGAUAAUACUUUGAACUGCAUGGUUCAAAAUUGAAAGGUGGCUUCGGCUGUCACUUAUGGAUGGACCCGCGUCGCAUUAGCUAGUUGGUGAGGUAACGGCUCACCAAGGCAACGAUGCGUAGCCGACCUGAGAGGGUGAUCGGCCACACUGGGACUGAGACACGGCCCAGACUCCUACGGGAGGCAGCAGUAGGGAAUCUUCCGCAAUGGACGAAAGUCUGACGGAGCAACGCCGCGUGAGUGAUGAAGGCUUUCGGGUCGUAAAACUCUGUUGUUAGGGAAGAACAAGUGCUAGUUGAAUAAGCUGGCACCUUGACGGUACCUAACCAGAAAGCCACGGCUAACUACGUACCAGCCGCCGCAGUAA